ACCAGGGCAAUGUGUGAGUGCAGCCCUCCCCAUCCAUCCCCAACACAGCCGUUCGGGGGAUCAGAUUUCCCUUCACCCAGGGUCAUGGCUGUUGCAAUCCCAGGUUUGAAACGCAGUUGAUUUUGUCUGAAACAGGACAAAAAAAAUACUGUCUCAUCUGCCAAGGGGCAGCACCUCCUCUUGCUCUGCAACAAUUUGCUGUGGUUCAGAAGGGAAGGAACCAGCAGCAGAGAGCCUGGGGCACCCAUUUCUCAGCUGGGGAAGAAAGUGUGUGUUUGUCUUUACAUUUCUUCUGGCCUCUCGGUUGUAGCUGAGUCAGACUCCUACGAGGAUUUCUUACAGGAGUCAGAAGGGGACCAAAGCACGCACUCUGCCACCAUUGCACCAGUAAAAUAAAUAUAGGAGAGGAAACUCUCCAACUGCAUUGAUAUUGUCACAGGUCUUGAUGUUUUAUGCUUAUACAGAAUUAUGUAUCUCUGUUUGCA